GUGUCAGACAGACACUCAUUCUCUGUUUAAAAGUCUAACUUUAACCCUGCUGUUGCAUGAUCUUUAUCAUGUGAAUCUAAGGAGGUGAUUCCUAUAAGGCUUAUAAAGUAGAACAAUUAGCAGUAUAGCUGGUGUUGUGGUGGUGUCACUGUGUAGUUAAUAGUCUGCUGGAUUCAUGUUUAAUAAUAGAGUUAGUUGGUGUUCUGUGAAGCUCUGAUGUUCUUGCUAAUUUACACAGUUCAGGUUUUCAUUGCACAGCAUUUGGUCAUGAAGUCUUUUGAAUCUUUAUCUUUUGUUUUGUAGAUCUGGCAUUCUCUGACUCAACACUUUAACAGAGUCGUUGCCCCUAGACUUCCUGGGCUUUGGUUUUUCAGACAAACCGAAUAAGAGAUGUGUUUGGACCGUUACACCCAGUGACGUGUGGACAGACAUUCACAGUUUGAUGGACAUCUGCUCAGACACAGUUAAAAGCAUAACCGCUGCUGGACAUCGUGCGGGAGCUCAGGGGGGGACCCCAUGAUCCCCCACACCUUCUCACUCACACCACAGCAUUCAUUCAUAUCGCAGAGAUCUGGCUGGAGUCGAACCAGCAACCUCUGAAACCGUGAGGCAGCGCUCUUACCUGUGAGCCACAGAUCUCUUGUCUGGACAUGUGACGGAACUUAUAUUUCACUAUUCACCUGUAUGUGAGCUGGGAUUUUACAAUAAACCAGUUAAAGCCAAGUGGGAUUUGAACCCAAGCCUUUAUCGCAGACUCUUUCUCAACUGACGUGUGUUUAGCCGCUGCACCAUCAUGGUUCUCACGCUGAGUGCUGGCAUUAGGGGUGUUUUGUUGAAUAUUAGGAAGGUUUGUUGGAUCUAAUGCAAUUUGUGGGAUUUAAUAUAAGCGAUAGUGGGAUUUGAACCCAAGCCUUUAACACAGCCUCACCCACAACUGAUGUGUUUAGCCACUGCACCAUCAUGGGUCUCACACUGAGUGCUGGCAUUUGGGGUGUUUUAUUGAGAGAUCUGUUUUAUAUGAUUAAAAACUCUUUGCAAUUGUGGGAUUUGAACCCAAGCUUGCAAGUGGGAAAGAGAUGUUUAUCCACUGAGCCAUACAAUAUGUGUUUAUGUAUUAGUGUGUUUUAGGGUCUUUUAUGCAUUUAUUUUCUUUUGUUUUGAACCAGCUUUUCAAAGCUAGCAUCAAACUGGACAUGUCAUGUGAUUUCAGGAAACGAGGUUUCUUCACAUCAUACUGUUUCGAAACAUUUGGACAUUUU